rnacentral:rRNA from 1 species
CCUACGGGAGGCAGCAGUGAGGAAUAUUGGUCAAUGGGCGGGAUCCUGAACCAGCCAAGCCGCGUGAGGGAAGAAGGUCCUACGUGUCGUAAACCUCUUUUGUCGGAGAACAAAAGCCGGGACUUGUCCCGGCCUGCGUGUAUCCGAAGAAAAAGCAUCGGCUAACUCCGUGCCAGCAGCCGCGGUAAUACGGAGGAUGCGAGCGUUAUCCGGAUUUAUUGGGUUUAAAGGGUGCGCAGGCGGCCCGUUAAGUCAGCGGUAAAAUUCCGGGGCUCAACCCCGUCGAGCCGUUGAAACUGGCGGGCUGGAGUUGGAGAGAAGUACGCGGAAUGCGCGGUGUAGCGGUGAAAUGCUUAGAUAUCGCGCAGAACCCCGAUUGCGAAGGCAGCGUACCGGCGCCAGACUGACGCUGAGGCACGAAAGCGUGGGGAUCGAACAGGAUUAGAUACCCGGGUAGUC